AUGGGGAGUAGGGUUAAACUGAUGGGAGGUAGGGUUAAACUGAUUGGGAGUAGGGUUAAACUGAUGGGGAGUAGGGUUAAACUGAUGAGGGGUAGAGUGAAAUUGAUGAGGGGUAUUGUUAAACUGAUGAGGGGUAAUGUUAAACUGAUGAGGGCUAGUGUUAAACUGAUGAGGGGUAGUGUUAAACUGAUGGGGGGUAGUGUUAAACUGAUGAGGACUAGUGUUAAACUGAUGAGGGGUAUAGUUAAACUGAUGAGGGGUAGUGUUAAAUUGAUGAGGGGUAGAGUGAAAUUGAUGAGGGGUAGUGUUAAACUGAUGAGGACUAGUGUUAAACUGAUGAGGAUUAGUGUUAAACUGAUGAGGGGUAUUGUUAAACUGAUGAGGGGUAGAGUGAAAUUGAUGAGGGGUUGUGUUAAACUGAUGAGGGGUAUUUUUAAACUGAUGAGGGGUAGUGUUAAACUGAUGAGGGGUAGAGUUAAAUUGAUGAGGGGCAGAGUUAAAUUUAAGAUGGGUAGUGUUAAACUGAUGGGGGGUAGUGUUAAACUGAUGAGGGUUAGAGUUAAAUUGAUAGGAAGUAGGGCUAAACUGAUGGGAGGUAGGGUUAAACUGAUGGGGAGUAGGGUUAAAGUUAUGGGAUGUAGAGCUAAACUGAUGGGGAGUAGGGUUAAACUGAUGAGGGGUAGAGAUAAAUUGAUGGGGAGUAGGGUUAAACUGACGAGGGAUAGUGUUAAACUGAUGAGGGGUAGAGAUAAAUUGAUUGUGAGUAGUGUUAAACUGAUGGGGAGUAGGGUUAAAGUGAUGGGAGGUAGGGUUAAACUGAUUGGGAGUAGGGUUAAAUUGAUGGGAGGUAGGGUUAAACUGAUUGGGAGUAGGGUUAAACUGAUUAGGGGUACUGUUAAACUGAUGAGGGGUAGAGUUAAAUUGAUGAGGGGCAGAGUUAAAUUUAAGAGGGGUAGUGUUAAACUGAUGGGGGGUAGUGUUAAACUGACGAGGGGUAGAGUUAAAUUGAUAGGGAGUAGGGUUAAACUGAUGGGAGGUAGGGUUAAACUGAUUGGGAGUAGGGUUAAAUUGAUGGGGAGUAGUGUUAAAGUGAUGGGGAGUAGGGUUAAACUGAUGGGGAGUAGGGUUAAACUGAUGGGAGGUAGGGUUAAACUGAUGGGGAGUAGGGUUAAACUGAUGGGGAGUAGGGUUAAACUGAUGGGGAGUAGGGUUAAAUUGAUGGGGAGUAGGGUUAAAGUGAUGGGGAGUAGUAUUAAACUGAUGGGGAGUAGGGUUAAAGUGAUGAGGAGUAGUAUUAAACUGAUGAGGGCGAGUGAUAAACUGAUGAGGGGUAUUGUUAAACUGAUGAGGGGUAGUGUUAAACUGAUGAGGGGUAGUGUUAAACUGAUGAGGGUAGUGUUAAACUGA
rnacentral:lncRNA from 1 species